GGUUAAGUGACUAAGCGUACACGGUGGAUGCCUUGGCAGUCAGAGGCGAUGAAAGACGUAGUAACUUGCGAUAAGCCCAGAUUAGGUAGUAACAACCAUUUGAGUCUGGGAUUUCUGAAUGGGGAAACCCACGUGCAUAAGCACGUAUCCUUACCUGAAUACAUAGGGUAAGGAGGCGAACCGGGGGAACUGAAACAUCUAAGUACCCCGAGGAAAAGAAAUCAACCGAGAUUCCGAAAGUAGCGGCGAGCGAAAUUGGACUAGCCCUUAAGCUUUACACGCGUUAGACGAACGGUCUGGAAAGUCCGACGAUACAGGGUGAUAGUCCCGUAGUUGACGACGUGUGUUCAGUGAAAUCGAGUAGGGCGGGACACGUGAUAUCCUGUCUGAAUAUGGGGGGACCAUCCUCCAAGGCUAAAUACUACUGACUGACCGAUAGUGAACCAGUACCGUGAGGGAAAGGCGAAAAGAACCCCUGUGAGGGGAGUGAAAUAGAACCUGAAACCGUGUACGUACAAGCAGUAGGAGCAGGCUUUGUCCUGUGACUGCGUACCUUUUGUAUAAUGGGUCAGCGACUUAUAUUCAGUGGCAAGGUUAACCAUCUAGGGGAGCCGUAGGGAAACCGAGUCUUAACUGGGCGUUCAGUCUCUGGAUAUAGACCCGAAACCAGGUGAUCUAGCCAUGGGCAGGUUGAAGGUUGAGUAACAUCAACUGGAGGACCGAACCGACUAAUGUUGAAAAAUUAGCGGAUGACUUGUGGCUAGGGGUGAAAGGCCAAUCAAACCUGGAGAUAGCUGGUUCUCCCCGAAAGCUAUUUAGUAGCGCCUCGGACGAAUACUACUGGGGGUAGAGCACUGUUAAGGCUAGGGGGUCAUCCCGACUUACCAACCCUUUGCAAACUCCGAAUACCAGUAAGUACUAUCCGGGAGACACACGGCGGGUGCUAACGUCCGUCGUGGAGAGGGAAACAACCCAGACCGCCAGCUAAGGUCCCAAAUUACUACUAAGUGGGAAACGAUGUGGGAAGGCUCAGACAGCCAGGAUGUUGGCUUAGAAGCAGCCAUCAUUUAAAGAAAGCGUAAUAGCUCACUGGUCGAGUCGGCCUGCGCGGAAGAUGUAACGGGGCUAAGUAGUAAACCGAAGCUGCGGCAAUGUGCUUUUGCACAUUGGGUAGGGGAGCGUUCUGUAAGCGGUUGAAGGUGUGUGGUAACGCAUGCUGGACGUAUCAGAAGUGCGAAUGCUGACAUGAGUAACGAUAAAGGGGGUGAAAAACCUCCUCGCCGGAAGACCAAGGGUUCCUGUCCAACGUUAAUCGGGGCAGGGUAAGUCGACCCCUAAGGCGAGGCCGAAAGGCGUAGUCGAUGGGAAACGGGUUAAUAUUCCCGUACUUCUUACAAUUGCGAUGGGGGGACGGAGAAGGCUAGGUGGGCCUGGCGACGGUUGUCCAGGUUCAAGUGCGUAGGCUUGAGAGUUAGGUAAAUCCGGCUCUUUUUAAGGCUGAGACACGACGUCGAGCCACUACGGUGGUGAAGUCAUUGAUGCCAUGCUUCCAGGAAAAGCCUCUAAGCUUCAGAUUGUAAGGAAUCGUACCCCAAACCGACACAGGUGGUCGGGUAGAGAAUACCAAGGCGCUUGAGAGAACUCGGGUGAAGGAACUAGGCAAAAUGGUACCGUAACUUCGGGAGAAGGUACGCUCUCGACGGUGAAGUCCCUCGCGGAUGGAGCUAUUGAGAGUCGCAGAUACCAGGUGGCUGCAACUGUUUAUUAAAAACACAGCACUGUGCAAAAUCGUAAGAUGACGUAUACGGUGUGACGCCUGCCCGGUGCCGGAAGGUUAAUUGAUGGGGUUAGACUUCGGUCGAAGCUCUUGAUCGAAGCCCCGGUAAACGGCGGCCGUAACUAUAACGGUCCUAAGGUAGCGAAAUUCCUUGUCGGGUAAGUUCCGACCUGCACGAAUGGCGUAAUGAUGGCCACGCUGUCUCCACCCGAGACUCAGUGAAAUUGAAAUCGCUGUGAAGAUGCAGUGUACCCGCGGCUAGACGGAAAGACCCCGUGAACCUUUACUACAGCUUGGCACUGAACAUUGACCCUACAUGUGUAGGAUAGGUGGGAGGCUUUGAAGCACGUACGCCAGUAUGUGUGGAGCCGUCCUUGAAAUACCACCCUUGUAGUGUUGAUGUUCUAACGUCGACCCCUUAUCGGGGUUGCGGACAGUGCCUGGUGGGUAGUUUGACUGGGGCGGUCUCCUCCCAAAGAGUAACGGAGGAGCACGAAGGUGGGCUAAUCACGGUUGGACAUCGUGAGGUUAGUGCAAUGGCAUAAGCCCGCUUGACUGCGAGAAUGACAAUUCGAGCAGGUGCGAAAGCAGGUCAUAGUGAUCCGGUGGUUCUGAAUGGAAGGGCCAUCGCUCAACGGAUAAAAGGUACUCCGGGGAUAACAGGCUGAUACCGCCCAAGAGUUCAUAUCGACGGCGGUGUUUGGCACCUCGAUGUCGGCUCAUCACAUCCUGGGGCUGAAGUCGGUCCCAAGGGUAUGGCUGUUCGCCAUUUAAAGUGGUACGCGAGCUGGGUUUAGAACGUCGUGAGACAGUUCGGUCCCUAUCUGCCGUGGGCGUUGGAAGAUUGAAGGGGGCUGCUCCUAGUACGAGAGGACCGGAGUGGACGAACCUCUGGUGUUCGGGUUGUGUCGCCAGACGCAUUGCCCGGUAGCUAAGUUCGGAAUCGAUAACCGCUGAAAGCAUCUAAGCGGGAAGCGAGCCCUGAGAUGAGUCUUCCCUGAUACUUUAAGUAUCCUAAAGGGUUGUCGGAGACUACGACGUUGAUAGGUCAGGUGUGUAAGUGCUGUGAGGCAUUGAGCUAACUGAUACUAAUUGCCCGUGAGGCUUAACCAU
rnacentral:rRNA from 1 species